GAUCAUUCAUUUCUUCUCAAUGCUAUCAUCAAUCAGUCUUGAAUUGCGCGGUCGCCGCCCUGCUUGGUAAAGCUCCUUUUAUUUUUAUACCAGAAAGUUGUUGUUUAUAUUUUAGAUGGUAUGAAAGUUUGCGAUGAUAAGCAAUUCCAUUGUCCAGGUGGACAAUGUAUUCCAAUGGACUACGUGUGUGAUGGGCAGAAAGACUGCGAUGAUGGGUAUGAUGAGAAGCCAUGUAAAAGU